GCAGUCGAGCGGUAACAGAUCUAGCUUGCUAGAUGCUGACGAGCGGCGGACGGGUGAGUAAUGCAUAGGAAUCUGCCCGGUAGUGGGGGAUAACCUGGGGAAACCCAGGCUAAUACCGCAUACGUCCUACGGGAGAAAGGGGGCUUCGGCUCCCGCUAUUGGAUGAGCCUAUGUCGGAUUAGCUAGUUGGUGAGGUAAAGGCUCACCAAGGCAACGAUCCGUAGCUGGUCUGAGAGGAUGAUCAGCCACAUCGGGACUGAGACACGGCCCGAACUCCUACGGGAGGCAGCAGUGGGGAAUAUUGGACAAUGGGGGCAACCCUGAUCCAGCCAUGCCGCGUGUGUGAAGAAGGCCCUCGGGUUGUAAAGCACUUUCAGCGAGGAAGAACGCCUAGCGGUUAAUACCCGUUAGGAAAGACAUCACUCGCAGAAGAAGCACCGGCUAACUCCGUGCCAGCAGCCGCGGUAAUACGGAGGGUGCAAGCGUUAAUCGGAAUUACUGGGCGUAAAGCGCGCGUAGGUGGCUUGAUAAGCCGGUUGUGAAAGCCCCGGGCUCAACCUGGGAACGGCAUCCGGAACUGUCAGGCUAGAGUGCAGGAGAGGAAGGUAGAAUUCCCGGUGUAGCGGUGAAAUGCGUAGAGAUCGGGAGGAAUACCAGUGGCGAAGGCGGCCUUCUGGACUGACACUGACACUGAGGUGCGAAAGCGUGGGUAGCAAACAGGAUUAGAUACCCUGGUAGUCCACGCCGUAAACGAUGUCGACCAGCCGUUGGGUGCCUAGAGCACUUUGUGGCGAAGUUAA
rnacentral:rRNA from 2 species